rnacentral:lncRNA from 1 species
UUUGAAAAUAGUUGGGUCAGAAGAAGAAAAUAGAAAAGGUGUUUCUUUGAAUUAAAGAAAUACAAAAGUUAUACCAAAUGGAAGUUUUUUAGAGCAGUGGUUCUUAACAUUUAUUGUAAAUCUCUAGACAUCACAAAUAGAAGUGGAAUGGGAAGAACGCCUUUCCCCUGUCUUUUUACUAAGUUCUACAGAAUAUUCUGGUACAGAUCAAAAUUUGAGGAGCAUUGAAUUAGAGGGAAAAUGCUGUACAAAUAAUAAAAUAAAUACAUUUACUCCUACAUAGUUUUGUUUAUAAUAAGGAUUAUAACUUCUGAGGAUGUAUUUGAUAACAGCAGAAAAGCAGCCUGAUACUACGUACUCAUGUAUAAUCCUUCACAUUAAAAAGAAAUCAAAGUAUUGAAGAACAGCUGAAAAUGUUUUUGCAAAGCUCUCUGGGGAUGAGGGAGAGUUAAAGUGGUAUCUCUAUGCUAUUUGAUGCCAAUAUUUCACGCUCUGGGAAGAAAAAGUUUUCCCUGUGAAUCAGCACCAGCAUUGACCCAAGAAGCCUCCAACCUUCUUCCAGACUAAAACUACAUCCACUUGUACAGAGAAAGACAGAGCAUCAGUCACCAGCCAUCCCCAAUAAUCACAAUGAAAACCAACCUAUGGGAUGAAGGUUGGAUCUGUUACAACUAGUCGUUAAGACCUAAAUUCCUUAUGAUUGUGAUCAAUGUUUAUCAUUUUCAAUCACUCUUUCCUCUUCUCUCACAUGUAUACUAUUAGUGAAGAACUCUUGCCUACGCAAAAAUAAAAC